rfam:Salmo salar isolate Sally breed double haploid chromosome ssa21, whole genome shotgun sequence.
UGCAUUCACUACUGUAAGUUGCUCUGGAUAAGAACGUCUGCUAAAUGGCUAAAA